rnacentral:rRNA from 1 species
UUAAAAAGCUCGUAGUUGGAUUUCGGCGGGUAGAGGUUGGUUUGAAUUGAUUCACACUGACUUUUUUACCCGUGUGUUUUGCCAGAAUCUUACGGGUGAUCUUUACCGAUUGUCCGUUGGAACUGGCAGGUUUACUUUGAAAAAAUUAGAGUGCUCAAAGCAAGCUUACUGCUUGAAUAGUUGCGCAUGGAAUAAUAGAAUAGGAAGUCGUUUCUAUUUUGUUGGUUUUCGGAAAUCGACUUAAUGAUUAAUAGGGAUAGUCGGGGGCAUUCGUAUUCAAACGACAGAGGUGAAAUUCUUGGACCGUUUGAAGACGAACUAAGGCGAAAGCAUUUGCCAAGA